AAUCCUGUGAGCCCUGUGGCAUAGUAUUUAAGUGACUAUUUUGGUUUGACUAGCAUAGUUCGAGCUGAACCAGUUCUCACCGUAAUAUCCACUUUUGGUUCCGAAGGGACAUAGUCUUCAUAUACCUCAGCACUUCCUGAAGACUUUCUUGGUACUGUUCAAAGUAAGAUAUAAUGAGUUGCUCGGUUGCAUACAUUCUUUGCUUCAUUGCUUGUUCUCUCAGACGUGCUAUCAUAACCAAGGCACAUGGUGAGAUGGAAAGACACUGCAUCCGAAGUCAAGGGACCAAGGUUUCAGAUUCUCAAUACCACCGUUGCAUGAUGGCCAACGGACAUAUCACUCUGCACUUUGCUUCUUGAUUUCUUCAUUGAGGAACAGUAAAAUGGUUGAGUCUGUUCCCGGCUGUCAGACUGCCAAAGGCUGUAGAAGCAUAGCACCAGCAUCUGCUCGACUUCUUACGAGGCCUCAGGAAGCUUAUAAUCAUGGCAGAAAGUGAAGGGGAAGCAGGUGAUGAAAAUGAAACACAGAAAAAUAAAGAAACUUGUCCAAGCUUGUACAGUUGGCAAAUUGACUCACUGGAAGACUUCCAUCCAGAUGGAAAAAGAGAGAUCUCCAAGUCAGAAGGACCGCCUCAUUUUCCAGUAGUGCUGAACUCCACCAUGCAGACCAUAAACCUCUGCUCCGUCUUGUCCCUAGUGUCCCAAAUAAAAUUUGUAAAAGGGGAAAACAAACAAACAACAACAAAAAACAAUGCCCACAUCUUUCAUGAUGAGGAAAAUGGAUCCACGAAUGGAAAGAUUUCUGUUUUGGCUGAGUACACAAGGACCCAAUCUGACAAUCCACAGGAUAUAUUGAGUCUCUCCAUGUAUCUAGGGGUCUGCACUAGCGGUGUUCUACAGAUACCACUAUCUCAAACUAUUCCCAACUGAAUAUCUUAUCUUUUCACCCAAAUUGCUCAUUCAGUCACCCAAUCAAACCUAGAACUUGGAUAUCAUCCACAUGACUAUUCCUCACCCGCUAUUACCUGCCAAACUGUCUGAUCUACUCAGUCAUUAAGUUAACUUAUGUUGAUUUGGUUUCCUUAUUACUUUUCCUCUUUUACCCAUUUCUUCUGGUACUGCUGCUUCGUUCAGUUCCUAGUUCGCUCUUUCCCAAACUACUGUGGUAAUCUCCCUUCUGAUUUCAAUGGCAUCUCAUCUCACGUUGAAUGACCUACAAGGUCCUCCGUGAGUCUAAUGUCUCUGCUACCUAAAUUUUCUCAUCCUAAAUUUCAGCGAUGUUGAACUAUUCGCAGGUCUCCACUUCAUGUGAUUUUAUAUCCCAUGCCUUUGAAUAUUCUUCUUUUCUUGGAGUGUCACUCCCACAUAAUUGUAUCUGUCAAACUCAUAUUCCUAUUUUAAGACCCAGCUCAAGCAUCAUUUUCUAGAAAGACUUGCUGGAAGCCCAAAUUGUUGAUCAUUCUCUUCACUGGGUCCCCUCUUUAAUUUGUACAUACUGCAUUAUUAUACUUGGUAGCUGUAUUGCCAUUGUUUGCUUGCAGUCCUGUAUCUCCUCUACAAAUGUAAAUGGCCAAAGGCAGGAACUAUGGCUUUUCAUUUUUUUGUCUUCGGCAUCUAUCACGUUAUCUGGCACACAGCAGAUUCUCAGUGAGUAUUAAUUGAAUGAAUGGAGAUUUCAAGUUUUAUUCUUCCAUGAUUUAUGAUGUUAUACUUAUUUUAGGUUUCAACACGGAUUCAAAUGUCAGGGGCCAAUAUGUUACUUAACCAUUGUUUUUAUUGGCCUGCUCAGAAGUCGCAACUGCUCUUUCUCUGGAAUGGUUGAAGCAGGGAUGGAGGAGAAGCAAUCACCUUGUGCAGCAAUGGAAAUGGUAAAGUGCACCGUCUAUGGUGAUAGAGUAAUUUGGGCAAGGGGAUGGUUUUGGAGUGAAAC
rnacentral:lncRNA from 13 species